rnacentral:rRNA from 1 species
GGAGUUAGCCGGUGCUUCUUCUGUGAGUGAUGUCCUUCCUGCCGGCUAUUAACCCGCAGGCCUUCUUCCUCACUGAAAGUGCUUUACAACCCGAAGGCCUUCUUCACACACGCGGCAUGGCUGGAUCAGGGUUGCCCCCAUUGUCCAAUAUUCCCCACUGCUGCCUCCCGUAGGAGUCUGGGCCGUGUCUCAGUCCCAGUGUGGCUGAUCAUCCUCUCAGACCAGCUACGGAUCGUCGCCUUGGUGAGCCGUUACCUCACCAACCAGCUAAUCCGACAUAGGCUCAUCCGAUAGCGCGAGGCCCGAAGGUCCCCCGCUUUCCCCCGUAGGGCGUAUGCGGUAUUAGCCUGGGUUUCCCCAGGUUAUCCCCCACUACCGGGCAGAUUCCUAUGCAUUACUCACCCGUCCGCCGCUCGCCACCAGGAGCACGCUCCCGUCGCUGCCGCUCGACUUGCAUGUGUUAGGUCCGUCGCCGCCACGCGUUCAACUCUGAGCCGACGGAUACAAACUACUCGA